rnacentral:rRNA from 1 species
UACGGGGGGGAGCAAGCGUUGUUCGGAUUUACUGGGCGUAAAGGGCGCGUAGGCGGCCACCGCAAGUCGACUGUGAAAUCUCCGGGCUUAACCCGGAAAGGUCAGCCGAUACUGCGGGGCUAGAGUGCAGAAGGGGCAACUGGAAUUCUCGGUGUAGCGGUGAAAUGCGUAGAUAUCGAGAGGAACACCUGCGGCGAAGGCGGGUUGCUGGGCUGACACUGACGCUGAUGCGCGAAAGCUAGGGGAGCGAACAGG